UCGGGCCUGCCCGGUGAGUAUUUAACGGCUGCAACGAGAGUUGUGCUAAGGUAGCGUGAUAAGUUGUCCUUUAAUUGGGGAAUGGUAUGAAUGGUUUGACGUAAAAUAACUGUCUUUAAGGAAUAAAAUAAAGUUUCCUUUUAAGUGAAAAGGCUUAUAUCUUUGUAAGAGACGAGAAGACCCUGUCGAGCUUAAUUAGAGUUAUUUGUAUAUAUAAUAACUGGAAUUUUUGUUGGGGCAACAUAGACUAAAACAACAGUUUAAUUGUUUAAUAAAGAUCCUUUUUGAAAGAAAAUAGCAAAAGCUACCGCAGGGAUAACAGCGUUAUCCUUUUUAAGAGAUCUGAUUGAGAAAAGGGUUUGCGACCUCGAUGUUGGAUUAUGGAAACUUUUUGGUGCAGCAGCUAAAAUGGUGAGCGUCCUG
rnacentral:rRNA from 1 species